rnacentral:rRNA from 1 species
CAGCAGCCACGGGAAUACGGAGGGGGCUAGCGUUGUUCGGAUUAACUGGGCGUAAAGGGCGCCUAGGCGGGUUUUUAAGUCAGAGGUGAAAUCCCAAGGCUCAACCUUGGAACUGCCUUUGAUACUGGAAGUCUUGAGUCCGGGAGAGGUGAGUGGAACUGCGAGUGUAGAGGUGAAAUUCGUAGAUAUUCGCAAGAACACCAGUGGCGAAGGCGGCUCACUGGCCCGAUACUGACGCUGAGGUGCGAAAGCGUGGGGAGCAAACAGGAUUAGAUACCCCAGUAGUCCCUGUCUCUUAUAU